rnacentral:tRNA from 1 species
CAAAAUGUAGCUUAAUAAAAGCAAUCCGCUUACACCGGGAAAAUGUCCGUUCAAUCCAGACCACUUUGAG